UUGAUUAUUACAAUUUUAUUCGCCAGGGAACUACGAGCGUCAGCUUAAAACCCAAAGGACUUGGCGGUGCCCUACACCUCCUAGAGGAGCCUGUUCUAUAAUCGAUGAUCCACGAUACACCUCACCGUUUCUUGCCAAAACCGCCUAUAUACCGCCGUCUCCAACUUACCCUAUGAAGGAUUUACAGUAAGUUCAAAGAUCACUCAUCAGAACGUCAGGUCAAGGUGUAGCGAAUGAAACGGGAAGAAAUGGGCUACAUUUUCUAUUUUAGAUCACACGGACAGUCAGUAUGAAACCUGAUUAUGAAGGAGGAUUUAGCAGUAAAAAGAAAUCAGCAAGUUCUUUUUAAGUCGGACCUAGGGCGCGUACACACCGCCCGUCCC
rnacentral:rRNA from 1 species